CCUACGGGUGGCAGCAGUGAGGAAUAUUGGUCAAUGGCCGUAAGGCUGAACCAGCCAAGUCGCGUGAAGGAAGAAGGAUCUAUGGUUUGUAAACUUCUUUUAUAGGGGACUAAAGGUAUCCACGUGUGGAUAUUUGCAUGUACCCUAUGAAUAAGCAUCGGCUAACUCCGUGCCAGCAGCCGCGGUAAUACGGAGGAUGCGUGCGUUAUCCGGAUUUAUUGGGUUUAAGGGGUGCGUAGGUUGUUUUUUAAGUCAGCGGGGAAAGUUUGUGGCUCAAGCAUAAAAUUGCCGUUGAAACUGGAAGGCUUGAGUGUGUAUGAGGUAGGCGGAAUGCGUGGUGUAGCGGUGAAAUGCAUAGAUAUCACGCAGAACUCCGAUUGCGAAGGCAGCUUACUAAGCCAUAACUGACACUGAAGCACGAAAGCGUGGGGAUCAAACAGGAUUAGAUACCCCAGUAGUC
rnacentral:rRNA from 1 species